GGGGAGCGAAGCGCGGCGUCUCCAGCAGCGGUGGGGUCCUGAGCAUCGCACCGCAGCCUCCGCAGGCCAGCUUCUGGGGAGCCCCCAGAGAGAGCGACAACAGGUCGGACCGUGUUCACGCUUCCCACCUCGUCCCUGUGCCCACAUGCAACUCCCCCUCCUCACUGAGGCCAGAAGCCCCGCAGCGCCUGUUCCCCAUCUCCGGAGCCCCCCCGAAGUUUUAGCCCCUCCCGCUGUGCCCCCGGAGCCUCUGCUGCACGCCCACUCGCAGUGCUCCUCAGGGCCCAGGGGGAGCGCUCAGGGGGACCCCCCCUAGGCCGCGGUCCCCGGAGGCUGUGGCGCUUGCAGCCUUAAGCAGGCAGGGUGGUCUCUGACCCCAGGAUGCAGAGGCAGCCGCCAGGGCCGCGGAGGAAGAGGCCAGGCGGAGGGGGCGCCUGGCAGGCGAGUACGCAGCAUGCCUCCGUCACCAACUGGUACUCCUUCGCCAAGAUCUCCGUGCCAGGCAGGAGCAGUGGGGCUCCUUCUGCUCGGCGCUGAUGGCCGCUCGGCGGCUGCUGAAGGCACGUUCAAGCUCCAGGCCCGCGAAGUCCUCCCAGGCUGGGCAGAACCCAGAAGGGUAUGUACCUGGUAACUCCGAGUCAGGCUGCGUGGGAUCAGGGCUAGGGAGGGGCCGCGUGGCCUCGUGGGGUCCCAGGGCUGGCCACGCCAAAGUGGCCUUCUUCCAUCCCUAGUUGUCCCUCCCUCUGAUUUGGUCCUCCCCUCCCCACCCCCGCAGGGAGGUCCCCCAGCUGGCCGCUCUUCUGGGCCGCCUGUCCCAGGUCGUGCUGCAGGAGGGCCACCGCUUGAAAGCCUGGGGCGUCCUGGGCACAGGUACUGGGGCGGAGCUGCUGCGGCCAGCCUCAGCAAGCCCUCCUGGAGGCGCCAAAAGCAUCAGCAUGCAUCCUGUCACCAAGUUAAUGGUCCCUGGCCCAGACUGUGUGAUGCUUCCAGCCAGUGGCCAGGCAGGGCCCAUACCCCCAGGCUACUUCAUCCACCCUGACACGGGACGGGUGCUGCCCGAGGCUGGAAAUCUGGGUUAUGAUGUGCAGGAAGCGACCCUGGUGCCCACCACUGACCGCAGUUCUGGUGGCGUCCGAACCUCAGAAGCUGCCAUCCUCCCCUACGUGCCCUACCCGCCCUGUCUUGCCACAGGCUCCCUGCCAGCCAUCCGCCUGCCUGUCCUGCAGCUGAGACGGACAUCACAGUCAGGGGCUCUCAUGACGGACCCCAUAACGGGCAUCGAGGUGCCCGUGCUGGCUGUGACUCUGCACCCGCAAACGAGGCAGUGGCUCACUCUUGGGGGGACGUACCGCAAUCCGCUUACCCAGACUCUGGCCCCUUUGGAGCUGGGGGGCCCCAUGGAGGAUCCGGUCACAGGAGACAUCUCGCCGAUCCUGGGAGUCGGGCUGGAUGAAAACACAGGUCAGGUGCUUGCACUGGGAGGACUGCGUGAUGCCUCGGGGAACCUCCUGCUGCCUGGUGACAGCUUUGUGGAGCCACUGAGCAGGAAGCCAGUCCGGCUCCAGGGGGCUUCCCGACAGGAGGGCCGGACUGUGCCCCAUACAGGAGGGCCCCAGGACCUGCUGGACGCCAACGUGCUGGCGGCCCAGAGCCGAGUGAUUGCAGUGCUCCGGAGCUCCCAGGAGAUGCCAGGGCCGAGGGGACAGGGGCUCCUGGAGGCUGCCGUCAAGGACAUGAGACAGGCGCUGGCCCUGAGCCUGCACCACCUCCUGCAGCAGGCCUGGCGGCUACAGAGACAGCAAAAAGCAGCGGAGAACCUGGAGGCCAGCGGCGGCAGGAUAGGUGCGGCUCCCCAGCCCUGAAAGCCCAGACCCAGAAUGACCUGGUGCUUCACUGCCCCUCAGCCCGUAAGCUCAGGGACAGGCCUGCAGCCCCACCGGCCAGUCACACAUGGGAUCAAGGGAAGAGAGAAGGAAUUCGGUGACUUCAUGCCCUGAGCUCAUGAAUGCUUGGCUUUCAAUCUUAGUCUUUUAACCUCUGGCCAAUUCCACUGGGUCUUACACUUGAUGUUAGUAAAGUGGAUAUCCUCUGGUAAUUUCAUAGGACCCCCAAGCACCAUAACAUGCGAUGACGCCCACUUUACAUUGCAGAAUCUGAAGUCAAGGGAGCUAAGAGACUCACCCACCAGGGUCCCGUAGCUAGUUAACCGCACAGCCGGACCUGAAGCCUGAGUCUUGGAGUCCCCAAUCUCCUUGUCAACAGCCUCCAACGUCCUAUGAAUAAACUCAGGAAGGAGCCCACCCAACUCCUUCACGUCCCCUACAGCCCCAGCACAAGGAAAGGCAGGGAAAGGAAGUAGAAGUGGCGUCUUCCUGGAGAUUAUCUCACACACUCCUUCUAGAAACUUCUGCCCAGGAUGUGUCAGAAAAGAAGCAGGCUUUGGGAUCAGAACUGACUUGAGUUUGAAGACCUGCCCCACCGUUUGUAACCUCUUUGACCUUGGACAAGUUACUAAACCUCCCUCCGCCUCUGUUUACAGCAUCUUUAAAAUGAGGAUUAAAAGAGCACAUCCUUUAGAGAUUUAGUUGUAGGAUCAAGUAAAGUCCAUUUUAUAUGGAGUUCUGAGCUUAGAUUCAGGCACGUGUAGGUGUUUCAAGAAAGUCUGUCCCCUGUCUUCCACCUUUUCAGCCUAGCCUAGAAAUUGCUCUCAGCUUCCCCCAAAGGCCUGCUGCCUUAUUUUUAAGUACUCAGUCCUUCCUUUAUGAAUUCAAAAUGCUAAGGUGGGCCAA
rnacentral:lncRNA from 1 species